GCAUUCCUUUAGUAACGGCGAGUGAAGCGGGAAGAGCUCAAAUUUGAAAUCUUCAAGGUUUGACCUUGACGAAUUGUAGUUUAUAGAAGUGUUUUCUGUUGGAGUUUUGGUAAAAGUUCUUUGGAAUAGGACAUCAUAGAGGGUGAGAAUCCCGUAUUUGACCAUGACUUUCCAGCUGUGUGAUACACUUUCAAAGAGUCGGAUUGUUUGGGAAUGCAGUCCAAAAUGGGUGGUAAAUUUCAUCUAAAGCUAAAUAUUGGCGAGAGACCGAUAGCGAACAAGUACCGUGAGGGAAAGAUGAAAAGAACUUUGAAAAGAGAGUUAAACAGUACGUGAAAUUGUCAAAAGGGAAGCGUUUGACACCAGUGUUGUUUUCUCGAAAAUCAAUUUAAUGAGUUCUUGUUUUUAAGUUAUUGUGACUUUAUCAGCGCAUUUCUUAUUUUACUUGACUCAUUGAAUGCACUUUUCGUUUAACAAGUCAACAUCAAUUUCUUUGGUGGUAAAAAGUUUAAAGGAAGGUGGCUUGGACUUCGGUUCAAGUGUUUAUAGCCUUUUUUCUAUGCCAUCGGAGAGAUUGAGGUCUGCAGCGUAGAUCCUUCGGGGUUAGAUACCUUUGUGCUAAGUUAUAGUUUUUUAUAGACAACUUGUUGACUAUAAUUAACCCUGUAAUUUACUCGCUUAGGCUAUUUUACCUACGCUUAGGAUGUUGACAAAAUGGUUUUAAACGACCCGUCU
rnacentral:rRNA from 1 species